GUAGAGAGGACUGAGGAAAGGGUAAAAGAAGAAGGAAAGCAUCUGAGAAGGCAAGAAUGAAAGGGCGAGUCAGUCUGUCACUGAGCGUGCAAGUGUAUGUGUGUGUGAGAUAGAGAGAGAGAGAGAGAGAGGAAGGGAGGAUGCAACCAAUGCAGCGAGGCAGCAGUUUAACACUAGCCUGAACCUGCCAGUGCGAGCGACAGAGCACAGAGAGAGAGAGAGAGAGAGAGAGAGAGGAGGGAGAGGUCUUUUCACUUCAGUCUAGCAGUGGAUUUUAAUUCCUCCACUGGGCUCCACCUCGCUGCUCUCACCGGACACACAACCUCCACUCACAGAGAAGAAAGGCAAAGCUGACUGUUUCCAGUCCAAGAACGCUGAUGAGGCCUGUGUGGCGGUGAAAAUCGAACACUCCAGAGCUCUAGGCAGUAGCCCGGCGUGCGAGGACAGCAACCCACCCAGUGUUCUGGCGUGUCUGAGUCGGGCGGGCGGCGGCGGGUCAACUGACAAGAGCAGGGGAGGGGUCAAUGGAAGAAGCUCUAGCUGCAAGCCUCGGCUGCAGUCUAAACCACAAGUGCCUCCAAAGCCACUACAUCUCCAGAGCCCGGUGACGGUGAUCACGUCCCCGCUGAGCCACAUCCAGAAACCACCACUAAAACAAACGGGCAUGGAGGGAGGAGGAGGAGGAGGAGGAGGAGGAGGAGGAAGAGGGGCUGUGAACCGGGAGAAAGUCAGGGAGAAACACUCCAAAGUGUCAGACCUCAUCAGCCGCUUUGAGGAGAACAGCAGCACAGAGAACAAGAGAGACGGCUCGCCGCACAAACAGAUCGGCAAGUCGUCCAACGGCAGCCCGGCUCACCGCGCCUACCAGAGGCAGACGGAGACCGACGGGACUCGGGAGAACCACUCCUCCGGGCCGACCUCACCGCAGGAUGACCCCAAACCGGCGGCCAAUGGGGUGCUAGCUCAGAUGGAGCAGAACAAGGACAAGGACAAGGACGAGGAGGACAACCAGGAGAGGAACAAUGAGAGUGUGAGGACAGAGACUGACGGACUGGUAAACGGAGAUAUGGGGUGCACGGAACAGAGCGGUGAUCAUUCACCUGAACACACAGAGAGGACUGGUACAGAAAGCCACACUGAGAAUGAGGACAGUGGAACUAAAAUAGAAAGUGAGCACAGGAAUGAAGAAGGGAGCACCGACCAGAAGGAGACGAACGAACAGAAGCUGUUUAAGAUCGCCAGCGAGCUCUUGCACACAGAGAAGGCCUACGUAGCGCGACUCAACCUGCUGGACCAGCUAUUCUGUGCCAAGCUGAUGGAGGAGGCGAAUAAAGGAACGUUCCCUGUGGACGUAGUGAAGAACAUCUUCUCCAACAUCGUCUCCAUCCACGCAUUUCACAGCCAGUUUCUGCUCCCAGAUCUGGAGAAACGCAUGGGAGAAUGGGCGUCCAAACCUCGCCUCGGAGACAUUCUGCAGAAACUCACACCCUUCCUCAAGAUGUACGCAGAGUACGUGAAGAAUUUCGAAAAGGCCAUGGAGCUGCUGAAGCAGUGGAUUGAUCGUUCGCCUCAAUUCAAGGCCAUCAUUCAGGAGAUACAGAGUCAAGAGGCCUGUGGCAACCUGACGCUUCAGCAUCACAUGUUGGAGCCCGUGCAGAGAGUCCCUCGCUACGAGAUGCUGCUGAAAGACUAUCUGAAGAAGCUGCCGCAGGACGACCCUGACCGGCGAGAUUCAGAGAAAUCGUUAGAAAUCAUCGCCACAGCAGCUACUCACUCCAACAGCGCCAUAAGAAAAUCUGAAAAUCUGAAGAAACUGAUGGAGAUAUACGAGAUGCUGGGUGAGGAGGAGGACAUCGUCAACCCCUCCAACGAGUUCAUCAAAGAGGGGCACAUCUUGAAGCUGGCAGCCAGGAACACCUCGGCCAUGGAGCGCUACCUCUUCCUGUUCAACAACAUGCUGUUGUACUGCGUUCCCAAAUUCAGCCUGGGAGGGACUAAGUACACGGUGAGGACGCGAAUCGGCAUCGACGGCAUGAAGGUCCUGGAGACGUCCAACGAGGACUACCCUCACACCUUCCAGGUGUCUGGGAAGGAGAGGAUGCUAGAGCUACAGGCCAGCUCGGAGCAGGACAAGGCAGACUGGAUUAAGGCUUUCCAGCAGACCAUUGGGAUCUUCCAGCAGAAAAACGAGUCAUUCAAGAACGCGCUGAAAGACGUGGAGCAAGUGUCGAAUGCAGAGCUGGGGAAACGCGCCCCUCGCUGGAUCCGCGACAAUGAAGUGACGAUGUGCAUGAAGUGCAGAGAGCCUUUCAAUGCACUGACACGGCGGAGACACCACUGCAGAGCCUGCGGCCUUGUGGUGUGCUGGAAAUGUUCAGACAAUAAGGUGGCGCUUGAAUACGAUAACAACAAGGUGAACAAAGUCUGCAGAGACUGCUUCUCCAUCCUGACUGGAGAACGUGUAGCUGAGGGCAAGAGGAAGGGCAUCCUGGAGAUCGAGGCGGCUCAGUUCACGGGCAACAGCAUCAUGUGCGGCUUCCUGCAGUACUGUGAGAAGAACAAGCCUUGGCAGAAGGUGUGGGGCGUCAUCCCGGAGAAGGAGUGUCUGGUGCUCUAUCUCUACGGAGCUCCGCAGGACGUGAAAGCCCAGUGUACGAUCCCCCUCCUGGGCUACUUGGUGGACGACAGUGCCCGGCCCACAGACCCCCCGGCCAGCUUCCGCAUCUCUCAGUCCAAGUCCAUCCACAACUUUGCUGCUGAAACCGAGGAGCUUAAGCAGCGCUGGCUGAAAGUGAUUCGAGUGGCGGUGACGGGAGAUGUGCCUGAACGUCCUCAGACCAACGGCGGCAGCGCCAAUAUGAUGGAUGACAACAACACGCAAGAAGCUGCUGCUGAUAGCUCAUAAAAGGUGUGUUUUCUACAAGCAAACUGCUGUUGGAUAGACGUGCAGAUGUGCACUGCAUGCACAAAACUCAAACGCGCUCUCUCCAUGCUGUCCAUGAAUCUUAAAGACAAGUGGAAAAAUCAGUGCUGGAUAAACUGCCUUUUCUUACCACUCUCCUGUUUCUUCCUGGAUUUUCUCAUAAACCCACACAAGAACUUCUGCUUCUCUGCUAAAGCUGUGCUGGAUUAUUAAAGGACAUGUCUGGUGCAAUCAACACUAGAGCAGAGGGGCCUCAGGACUGAUCGACUUCCCUAAAACAGGCACUAUUAAGGACAGCUCAAACUCUUCAUAGACUCUUAAUCUGUGUCAGCUCCUCUUGAGCCAGUGGACUACCACAGACGUACACAGCGCCCUGUACAGGAUGUGAAUCAAAGCAAACUAAGUCUGCUGGUGCUGUAACUCAACUCUGUGUACCUGUGCAGUAUAAAUGUUUUUUUUCUUUUCUUUUCAAAAAGGAACAAUUGUGUUUUUAUGUACAGAAAAUCAAUCCCAAACUUUUUGUUUUGAUAACAUAGAAAACAUCUAAGUAUGAUAUAAAGUAUUUACAGUAUUCUGCCUUUCUUUGCUUGAGAAGAUGGUCCCAAAACUGGGGGAAGUGAUCAUGUGGUUGGAAAAUGAUGGUGAUUGGUCUCAUCUCCCUCUCUCAUCCCUCAGUGACAAUUCAUCCAAUGUCUAAUGCGAAUCAAACUCUGGAUGCACGUUAGCUGAUCUGUCUGCUUUGCAAUUGGUUGCACCUGUCCUGUCGUGGGUUUUCUAUGAAGCAAAGGAACUCAUUUGCUAAUCAAACCAGUUUUAAACAUAUAGGCAGCUGACCAUAGAAGAAAUUGAUUGCCCUAGAGUUUUUAUAUCGUAAUACGUAUUGUGAUAUGGUACAUUUUCCAGAAAAACGGUCAAAAUCGAAGCAGCAGAUGCUGAGUUAUCCCCUAUGCUGUGUCUCAAUUUGCGUAAGUCUGUACUUACACUCGCUGUUUUGAGUGCACAAGUGUGUUCACACUGAUAAGUAUGACAAAAUCCAGUGCAUUAUGAGUACCCGGAUGGUGUACUCCUAACAGUCAAUAAGUUGAGUGUGUAACGGUUUGACACUUCUCACCCUCAGCGGUCGCCAUCUUGGCUAUAUAGGGAAGGGGAGGUUCCAGCAGAGGUUGCAAUUGCUCCGAUGAACACCGCAAUAUACAAAUGAAAUGCCCAUAAUGCAACUCAACAACGACUUAUAUUAGGCCUUCCCUGCCAGUUCAAUACUCAAGUUUUGUCAGAUACUCAAAGUCUCAAGCCUGACUCAAGAUAACGCUGAUGAUGUCAUAGUGAUGUCAUUUUCUCAGGCUUUAGAAAGCUCCCUGCAGAGCCACCGAUGUCAUUAUACAACUGUUUCCAGAGCUUCAGUAGUUCUCUCCAUGACAAGUAAACUUUACAUUGUUCUGUAUGCCAUGUAUAAAAUCAGCGAAGUGCUCCUUUAAAGGUAGAGCUACCUCUGUAGCAACAAUAAUAAGGCCAUGAAUCUCUAUGGUCUCACAAUCUGUAUGGUCAUACAUCGCCCAACCCUAUGGCCCACUGCAAUCAUGUAUAUUGUAAUAUGGCAUAAUAACUGAUGGAUGAGUCAUUCAUGUGCAAAAGUGAGGGUGAACGGUAAAUGUCUGUCUAUCUGCAGGACAUACAUUCAUGCGGAGAUAGAUGAACAGGGAUGAUCAGGUUUAUAUUUAGAUGCAAAAGCGGAACAAUCACAGAUAUAGCAAGCUGGUGCGAGAAAUGUAAAUGUGUUUUUAAUGCUGUAAUUAAUUUUAUUAUUUAAUGUAAUUUAUAGAGUAUGACAAGCAUGAUCUGUUUAAAGUAGCACAAAUUUGUUUCCCCGACUGUCAACUAAGAAGCGCAGUAGGUAGAUCUUAUUUUUUUCUUCCCGAGAGCAGAUGUUUCCCACUAACUCAAACGCGUCACCCCGGUUCAUCAGUGUGACGGCGACUAGUCAUAGCGCUGGAUGGACUGUGUUCCCCCUGUGCUCGAUGCUGGUGCUCACCUGAGUCUGAACUCUUUCCCCUCCUCAGUAUUCAAAUAAAAAAACAAGAGCACAAAACUUCCCCCGUCUGUAAGAUCUGAAUGUAUAUCCAGAUUUUUAUGUCCUUUCAUCCCCUCCCCAAAGGUUUGAGAAUCUACGCACUUUACAGUCUUAUAAAGUGUACCUUCAAAGAAAAUAAAACAAGAUUAAAUAUGA